rnacentral:ncRNA from 15 species
AUGACCUUCCAAGUUUUAAAAGAAGACGAUGAUACUAUUUGCGCUUUUUUAAUUCUUACAAUUCUUUCGUGGAUGGGAAUUAUUUUCUGUUCAUGGUUUUAAUGGAGAAUGUGGUGCCCUCGCAAGCCUUAUAAUCUUGUUACAUUCUUUGAAUGAUUUGGGACACUUUUUAUAAAAUUCUGAUUCUU